rnacentral:antisense_RNA from 1 species
GGAGUGGAAAAUGGCGGCCUCCUUGCCGCUUGGGUUACCAGAGUCCUCCCGACCUCGUGCUUUCUCCGGGCGCCCGUAGCUGGUGCCGGCAUCCACAAAAAUAGAUCAGGUAAAGCCGCAGAGUAAGGGAUAGGAAGACUCGGUUGGGCUCCGCGGCCCCUCUUUACCGGAUUGGAGGCUGCGCGGGUGAAAUCGAGCUUUAAAUUCCCCUGGCCUCGGAACACCAUUUGUAGCCUCUGAAGGAGGAGGACUUAUAAGAUUCUGUACUAAGGCAGCCGUGGGAAGGGAGGAGAACCAGGUCGGCCCGCCCGCUCCCGGCUGCUUUUGCUCUCCUUUUGGUUUCGGAAGCGUCAAGUCCCAAGAUAGAGGAUGAAUAAAGAGGAAGCUCCAGGCUGUGAGGUGUCUAAUCCUUGCUCCCCUCAGAAGUUGGGACAUGUUGGACCAAGGUGGUAAGGAUAGUGAGUUUCCCAGAAGCUGGACAAGCCACGACGGCGCCUUCCAAUAAAAGGGGAACUCCAGAGACGCUAUGAGAAAAGAGGAACAGACAUCUGCAAUAGAUAU